ACGGGGACCCGCACAAGCGGUGGAUGAUGUGGAUUAAUCGAUGCAACGCGAAGAACCUUACUACCCUUGACAUGUCCGGAACUUGCCAGAGAUGGCUUGGUGCCCGAAAGGGAAUCGGAACACAGGUGCUGCAUGGCUGUCGUCAGCUCGUGUCGUGAGAUGUUGGGUUAAGUCCCGCAACGAGCGCAACCCUUAUCAUUAGUUGCUACGCAAGGGCACUCUAAUGAGACUGCCGGUGACAAACCGGAGGAAGGUGGGGAUGACGUCAAGUCCUCAUGGCCCUUAUGGGUAGGGCUUCACACGUCAUACAAUGGUCGGUACAGAGGGUUGCCAAGCCGCGAGGCGGAGCCAAUCCCACAAAGCCGAUCGUAGUCCGGAUUGUUCUCUGCAACUCGAGAGCAUGAAGUCGGAAUCGCUAGUAAUCGCAGGUCAGCAUACUGCGGUGAAUACGUUCCCGGGUCUU
rnacentral:rRNA from 1 species